rnacentral:rRNA from 1 species
GACUAACGCUGGCGGCGUGCCUAACACAUGCAAGUCGAACGAGUUGUUUAUAGUAGCAAUAUUGUGAACAGCAAGUGGCGAACGGGUGAGUAACACGUAGAUAAUCUGCCUUUCAGACGGGGACAACUCAGGGAAACUUGUGCUAAUACCCGAUGAGACUACGGGAGGGGACUUUCGUAGCCAAAGGUGGGGGCAACCUCACGCUGAAAGAUGAGUCUGCGUCCUAUCAGCUAGUUGGUGGGGUAAAAGCCUACCAAGGCGAAGACGGGUAGCCGGCCUGAGAGGGUGAACGGCCACACUGGGACUGAGACACGGCCCAGACUCCUACGGGAGGCAGCAGUGAGGAAUUUUCCGCAAUGGGCGCAAGCCUGACGGAGCGACGCCGCGUGAGGGAUGACGGCCUCGGUUGUAACCUCUUUAUUAGGAAAAGGACGAAUACGUGCUAAUACACGGUUGUUGUAUGUUACCUGUUGAAUAAGCCCGGCUAACUACGUGCCAGCAGCCGCGUAAACGUAGGUG